GUGGUGGUGCACUCCGGUUUGAGGGCCCAAGCACUGAUCUACCAAUGAUCUUUGCACCCUUAUCACCACUAUACCAGCACGAGGAGAAAAUUCGGGAUGGUCCAAAUGACAGACUCCAAAAUGAUUCUGGAUAUUAUGGGCUAAAUCUGUAACAAUAACACACAACAAACUGAGGACUGAAAAUAUAGCUAAUAAAGAACUGUACUUAUUAAUCCAAUCACUUGCUGUGUCAAGACUGGGUUAGAAUAAGGAGUGGAUCUGAAGGGAAAAUGAAAAUACCCAGGACAUCAGAAAAUCAACGGUGAGAAAGCACAAGAAGGCAGCUGCCUGCAAGAAGCCAGGAAGAGGUCCC